UGAUUCUCUUUUAUUUGUAGAAAAUUUCCAAAACCAAUAUUGAGAAUCGGAAAAAGUUGAAGAAUCCACAUACUGUUGGCAAAAAAAGCUUUGCUAUUGUCUGCAAUGAUUUAGAAAAAGAAACGGAAACUUCCAAUCCUCUAUCACUUAAGGCAAUCUUCGUGGCUACAAGAAAAAGAAAACCCGGUCGAUCAUACAAGGAUACGGAUGAAGAUACAACUAGCAAAAUUGCUGAGAUGGAGAAUAUUGAAGGGCAACAAAGUGAAGAUGGUAAUGAGUCAGUUAAUGCCUCUGUAUCCGUUAUGGGACCUGAACAUUCAGGACCUUUGAGAUUGUAUGGUCGAGGGGUUACAAAAACUACUUUGAAAGGGAAAGAGGGACAUUUUGAACCCUCUUCAGAUGCAACAAAUGAUCUCGUGCAAAAGAUGAAGAGAGGAUGAUAAGAUUAAUGGAGGAAAAAUUUGAGGAACAAAAGCAACAAUUUGAGAAACAAAAAACCACGAUGAGACAAGAAAUUGUAGAAGAUUUCAUUACAAAACUUCAACGUUCAGGAUUACCAAUUGAUGCUAACAUUUUAGCAACAUUGGUUGAAGCUUCCUCAACACGAGCAGUAGUUGUUCAGCCACUUCAUCAUCCAUCUAAUGGUAGCAACAAUCAAGAAAUGAACGAAGUGGAGAUGAAAGUAGCAGCGAAGACCUGACUUAAGGAGUAUUGGCUGAUCUGCAUCUUCGAAAACUCUAGGAUUGUUUUUGAUUUUUGACUUUUUACAAACUUAAAUGUCUGUUAAAUCUUGAAUUGUUAACCAACUAGUUGGAUAUUUUGGAUUAAGAUUUUGUUUAUGAACAAUUUUCAUUUAUUGUUUAUAUAAAAUUUAGUACAUUAUAUCUAUUA